rnacentral:rRNA from 1 species
UACGUAGGGGGCGAGCGUUGUCCGGAUUCAUUGGGCGUAAAGAGCUCGUAGGCGGCUUUGGCAAGUCGGGUGUGAAAACUUCAGGCUCAACCUGGAGCGGCCACUCGAUACUGCCAUGGCUUGAGUCCGGUAGGGGACCACGGAAUUCCUGGUGUAGCGGUGAAAUGCGCAGAUAUCAGGAGGAACACCAGUGGCGAAGGCGGUGCUCUGGGCAACAACUGACGCUGAGGAGCGAAAGCGUGGGGAGCGAACAGG